rnacentral:rRNA from 1 species
CCUACGGGAGGCAGCAGUGGGGAAUAUUGGACAAUGGGCGAAAGCCUGAUCCAGCAAUUCCGCGUGUGUGAAGAAGGCCUUCGGGUUGUAAAGCACUUUAGUGGGGGAAGAAACAGCUUGGCCACACCAAGCCUUGACGGUACCCCAAGAAUAAGCACCGGCUAACCCUGUGCCAGCAGCCGCGGUAAUACAGAGGGUGCAAGCGUUAAUCGGAUUUACUGGGCGUAAAGGGUGCGUAGGUGGCUAUUUAAGUCGGAUGUGAAAGCCCGGGGCUCAACCUCGGAAUUGCAUUCGAUACUGAGUGGCUAGAGUUCGGUAGAGGGCGGCGGAAUUUCCGGUGUAGCGGUGAAAUGCGUAGAUAUCGGAAGGAACAUCAAUGGCGAAGGCAGCCGCCUGGGCCUGGACUGACACUGAGGCACGAAAGCGUGGGUAGCAAACAGGAUUAGAUACCCUGGUAGUCCACGCCGUAAACGAUGAGAACUUGACGUUGGUUCGUUUUACGAAUCGGUGUCGCAGCUAACGCGAUAAGUUCUCCGCCUGGGGAGUACGGCCGCAAGGUUGAAACUUAAAUGAAUUGACGG